rnacentral:lncRNA from 1 species
AAAGGAUGCAACCUUGUUCUCAACCACUUGCUAUCUCGUGAUUCAGGGAUUGGAUGAGUCUCUAUGGUUUGUUUUGCCCUGAAGAGCAGAAGGCUUCUGUCCCAACUGGUGUUGCCAAAGCAACAUAUUAAUUCCAUGCCAUGAUCCUGGGUCAAGAUCUGCACAAUCUGAUUGGGCAUGUCACCUCGGAUGGCAAGGGAGUGGAAGUGGUCAAAAUCAUGGAGUCCUAGCUUUCGGAGACGCCUUGCAGCUGCCCGGUAACACUUCCAGGGUUGGGGCUCCACAAGGAGGUAGCGGCAGAGGGAGGAAAGAUGGGCCAGGAACUCCCAUAGGCCAUGGUCUCCAUGAUUCAGAUGAAUCCACAUGGUUAUUGACAUGCAGAAGCCAAUGUCAAAAACUGAACGUCCAAAUUGGCUUAAGAAAGAGCUCAAGAGAACCUUCCGGGUCCUUUGAUUCAUGAAGUCCAGGGUGAUAAAAGUCAAGGCAUCAGGAAAAGGACAUUCUUUUUCGGCUCGCUUCACCAGGACUGGAUCUAUGUCGCAGCAGAGGAGACGGAAUUCUCUUGAGGCAUCUGAGCAGGUCUCCCCGUCAGGUAGGGAGAGGAAGUGUUUGUAUAGAGCCACACUCAG